UCUCAGUGAUGAUGAAUGAAAGAUGACGAGUCCGAUCACUUUUCCAUUCAGUGACGACCAAGCGAGGCAUUUGUCUGAGAGGA